rnacentral:rRNA from 1 species
CCUUGUACACACCGCCCGUCACAUCACGAAAGUUGUUUGUACCGGAAGCCGGUGCGCCAACCGCAAGGGGGUAGCCGUCCAUGGUAUGAAUAGCGAUUGGGGUG